rnacentral:lncRNA from 1 species
UGAGCAAGUUCGAACUCAGGAGGCGCACCAGCAAUUCAAUUGGCUGGAUGCAGAUGAAGCAAUAAUUGCUUCACGGUACACCAAACUGACAAAUCAUCUCCUUUUUUUUUGUUGGAUUUGAAGUUGUGUUUUAUUUUAGGGGAGAGAGAAUAGCCAGAUCCAUAUUCUUGUUAAUUGGAAAGCCUUGAUCUUGCUUAGAAAAUUUGCAUACAAAACAAACAAAUUGCCAUUUACAGUUUACAUAUUGACACUUGCGAAUACUAAACACAGCAUAUAAAAAUCAUUGAAUGGCAGGUCCUCCUUAUGCCACUCAUACCUUAUUCCACAAUUAUCUCAAACUACAAAAAACAGGUGAAUGAAACAACACAAAUCUCCCAAAUCCCUUUGACUUCUCAGCUGUUCCUGGUUCUUCCCUUUCACCGCCGAUGGCGAAGAGUUGAGAAACCGGCGUUCACAUCCUUGUUGAUCUGGGCAUAGUAUGAACUGGCAAUGUUCGAGCCAUUAGCAGCUGUUGCAGUAGAGACCAUAGAACCUUUAUUCAUGCUGUGAGACUGGGCCAACUCUACCCCGCUUCGCUGCUCCUUGAACUCGGCAGCUGACAGCUGUGGCAACUCCGACUUGGUUCGCCGGUGACUCGAGCCAUCGACAGAUUCGCCCCCCGCGAGAAGAUGGUAGCUCCUGGCUGAGCCAUCAGACAGGCACCUGUAGCUGCUGUACAGCCUUUGUUUCCUGACGCUGCGGAUGACAAACGGGAUCAAACCUUCCAUGCUGCUUCUUCUUCUGCUCCUUCUUGCAAAGAUCUUUCUUGAAAGUGUGAAAGUGGGUAUGUUGCUUGUGUUGAUUUUGUGAAUGGCUAAGAAAGUGGCUUGGUAGAUGUGUAUUUAUAUAGUGGGGAUUGAACGUUGAACGACAGCUUGAUCCCACAACUUAGUUCUUUAGGAUUUUGCAAGCCAAGUUGUCAAAAUGGGAAGUCAAAUUUCCCAUUUUGAAAGUCUAGUCCAAAUGGUACAUUGAACCACGUGGUAAGCCUGUCAGAUUUUCCCUAUGAUUAGUUAGAACUUGAAUUGUUCUAGAGAGCAAAUCUUGACAUUGCAGCUAAUUCAUGCUCUUGACCCAGAAAAAAGAAAAGGGCAAAAAUUAAUUUAGAUAAGGACAACGUCAUUAGGUCUCCUAAUGCUGGUCAUCCUUUCAACCAUUGAGCAG